rnacentral:rRNA from 1 species
AACGAACGCUGGCGGCAUGCCUAACACAUGCAAGUCGAACGAGACCUUCGGGUCUAGUGGCGCACGGGUGCGUAACGCGUGGGAACCUGCCCUUAGGUUCGGAAUAACUCCCCGAAAGGGGUGCUAAUACCGGAUAAUGUCUUCGGACCAAAGAUUUAUCGCCUUUGGAUGGGCCCGCGUUGGAUUAGCUAGUUGGUAGGGUAAAAGCCUACCACGGCGACGAUCCAUAGCUGGUCUGAGAGGAUGAUCAGCCACACUGGGACUGAGACACGGCCCAGACUCCUACGGGAGGGAGCAGUGGGGAAUAUUGGAAAAUGGGCGAAAGCCUGAUCCAGCAAUGACGCGUGAGUGAUGAAGGCCUUAGGGUUGUAAAGCUCUUUUACCCGGGAUGAUAAUGACAGUACCGGGAGAAUAAGCUACGGCUAACUCCGUG